CUCCGUCUGGAAAGCUAAUUCGCAAGGCGUGGUAUUCUAGAUCUAGCGGCACGUGUUUGCAUUAUUAGAAAAAUACCCAUAUUCUACAUACACUGUUUCUAAUCUUUUGCUAAAUUUGGUUUAAUCCCCAUGCUUCCACAGCAGGAAUAGUCAGAAAUGUUUUAGAUUAUCCA